UAUGACAAUCAGGGCUUAAAUUUUUAAUGUCUUUUAAUUUUUCAGUGACAUUAAAACAGGAAUUGUCAUCACCAAUAGACGAAUUUCACAUUCCUAAGUUUUCUCCAAUUGUCGGCGUAUCACUCAUUUUUCCCACUUUGUCCUUUGUCCUGUUCUGUAGAUGCCCUAAGACAGUGUCUACCCAUCACUCCAUCUGAUAUCACUUGUUCUGUGCAUAUUUCUCUCUCAAACUUAAACUACAGAGAGCCUGUGGAUAGAGGAUGAAGAGUGACCUUGGACUAAUUUUCUAGGUCACAGAUCAUAGGUGAUGUGAAGAAAACCAGGAAACUGAUGUUGAAAGAAGUACUUAAUGACCCUUAUGAAUGGACUUAAAUGUGAAAGACUGUUCCAUUGUUUAUCUAAGAUAUAUGAAUUUAUUUAAUAUUUUGAUAUCAUUGAAAAAUUCAGUUACAGUUUUUGUACA